GGGGUUGUGGCUCAGUGGUAGAGUGCUUGCCUGGCACAUGUGAGGCCCUGGGUUCAAUUCUCAGCACCA
rnacentral:tRNA from 1 species